GACGAACGCUGGCGGCGUGCUUAACACAUGCAAGUCGAACGAAGAGCGACGGAAGCUUGCUUCUAUCAAUCUUAGUGGCGAACGGGUGAGUAACGCGUAAUCAACCUGCCCUUCAGAGGGGGACAACAGUUGGAAACGACUGCUAAUACCGCAUACGAUCUAAUCUCGGCAUCGAGGAUGGAUGAAAGGUGGCCUCUACAUGUAAGCUAUCACUGAAGGAGGGGAUUGCGUCUGAUUAGCUAGCUGUAGGGGUAACGGCCCACCAAGGCGAUGAUCAGUAGCCGGUCUGGGAGGAUGAACGGCCACAUUGGGACUGAGACACGGCCCAGACUCCUACGGGAGGCAGCAGUGGGGAAUCUUCCGAAAUGGACGAAAGUCUGACGGAGCAACGCCGCGUGAGUGAUGACGGCCUUCGGGUUGUAAAGCUCUGUUAAUCGGGACGAAAGGCCUUCUUGCGAAUAGUGAGAAGGAUUGACGGUACCGGAAGAGAAAGCCACGGCUAACUACGUG
rnacentral:rRNA from 1 species